rnacentral:rRNA from 1 species
UACGAAGGGGGCUAGCGUUGCUCGGAAUCACUGGGCGUAAAGGGUGCGUAGGCGGGUUUUUAAGUCAGAGGUGAAAUCCUGGAGCUCAACUCCAGAACUGCCUUUGAUACUGAAAGUCUUGAGUACGGGAGAGGUGAGUGGAACUGCGAGUGUAGAGGUGAAAUUCGUAUAUAUUCGCAAGAACACCAGUGGCGAAGGCGGCUCACUGGCCCGUAACUGACGCUGAGGCACGAAAGCGUGGGGAGCAAACAGG